rnacentral:rRNA from 1 species
UCCGCUAAAAGAUGGCCUUGCGUCUGAUUAGAUAGUUGGUGGGGUAACGGCCUACCAAGUCGACGAUCAGUAGCCGGACUGAGAGGUUGAACGGCCACAUUGGGACUGAGAUACGGCCCAGACUCCUACGGGAGGCAGCAGUCGGGGAUAUUGCGCAAUGGAGGAAACUCUGACGCAGUGACGCCGCGUAUAGGAAGAAGGUUUUCGGAUUGUAAACUAUUGUCGUUAGGGAAGAGAAAGGACAGUACCUAAGGAGGAAGCUCCGGCUAACUACGUGCCAGCAGCCGCGGUAAUACGUAGGGAGCGAGCGUUAUCCGGAAUUAUUGGGUGUAAAGGGUGCGUAGACGGGAAGAUAAGUUAGUUGUGAAAUCCCUCGGCUUAACUGAGGAACUGCAACUAAAACUGUUUUUCUUGAGUGCAGGAGAGGUAAGUGGAAUUCCUAGUGUAGCGGUGAA